rnacentral:rRNA from 1 species
ACAAGGUCUCCGUUGGUGAACCAGCGGAGGGAUCAUUGCUGGAACGCGCCCUAGGCGCACCCAGAAACCCUUUGUGAACUUAUACCUUUUGUUGCCUCGGCGCAUGCUGGUCUCUUAGUAGGCCCCUCACCCCGGUGAGGAGACGGCACGCCGGCGGCCAAGUUAACUCUUGUUUUUACACUGAAACUCUGAGAAAAAACACAAAUGAAUCAAAACUUUCAACAACGGAUCUCUUGGUUCUGGCAUCGAUGAAGAACGCAGCGAAAUGCGAUAAGUAAUGUGAAUUGCAGAAUUCAGUGAAUCAUCGAAUCUUUGAACGCACAUUGCGCCCUCUGGUAUUCCGGAGGGCAUGCCUGUUCGAGCGUCAUUUCAACCCUCAAGCAUUGCUUGGUGUUGGGGCACUGCCUGUAAAAGGGCAGGCCCUGAAAUCUAGUGGCGAGCUCGCCAGGACCCCGAGCGCAGUAGUUAAACCCUCGCUCUGGAAGGCCCUGGCGGUGCCCUGCCGUUAAACCCCCAACUUUUGAAAAUUUGACCUCGGAUC